GGACUACCAGGGUUUCUAAUCCUGUUUGCUCCCCACGCUUUCGUGCAUGAGCGUCAGUACAGGUCCAGGGGAUUGCCUUCGCCAUCGGUGUUCCUCCGCAUAUCUACGCAUUUCACUGCUACACGCGGAAUUCCAUCCCCCUCUACCGUACUCUAGCUAUACAGUCUCAAAUGCAGUUCCCAGGUUGAGCCCGGGGAUUUCACAUCUGACUUGUAUAACCGCCUGCGCACGCUUUACGCCCAGUAAUUCCGAUUAACGCUUGCACCCUACGUAUUACCGCGGCUGCUGGCAC
rnacentral:misc_RNA from 1 species